ACCACAGGUCAGUUGAAUCUUUUAUAUCGAUUAAUCAGUGUGUAUACCUUUAAAUGUUAUAUUGUUAAUGCUUAUGUGUAAAUAUAAACUGUAACUUGUGUGUAAGUGUACAAGUUAGGUUUAGCUUGUUAGGGUCACUAAGCUAAAUUGCAAUCCAAUAAUCUUUUAGUAUCCAAAUAAAUGAUUCAGUUCAUUAAAGUGUUUUCUCUCUCCUAUGAGUGAAUGGUUACAUAUUUGCACGUUUGACUGAUUGAUUUUAUAAAUGAGAGAAAGUAUAGUGUGUAUGUGAAUGUAAAUAUGACUGCGAUAUAAGUUUGAACCGCUUAUAUUAUAUCCUAGGUUUUUGAAAUGGUAGAAUAUAUAUAUAUAUAUUUAGUUUAAGCUAUUGCAGCUUUAACGUUGAUCAUUGUUUAUACAGAUUGUACGUACGCUUGACUGGCUUGGCGGCUUGACAGGGCCGUAAUCUGCACCCUAGUGCCAUACACCGGGGUGUUGUUAAUAUUGGAAUAAAAGGUCUCACCCCCGUAA